ensembl:lncRNA
AGAACACAGAAGUGAGGGGCAGAAAAAGACCUUCUUAUUUAGCCAUUAACAAAUGAGAUGAAGAAACUGCCCUCCAGAGAGAAAGUCCUCAGCCAUGACCAUACAUGGAUAGUGGUAAAAGGGAAGCUGGAAUUCAGGACUCCUCCAGCAUCCUUGCCUGGAAAAUCUCAUGGACACAGGAGCCUGCUUGCAAGGUUCCCCAACCAGGGAUUGAACCUGGGCCUUGGCAGUGAAAGCGUGGAGUCCUAACCACUGGACUGCCAGGGAAUUCCCUGGAACCCAGCGUGGAGUCUGUGCCAAGGCCACAGGUGCAAGACCUUUCACCAAGGCCACAGACACGGAGCCCAGAACCAACAUCACCUCCGAAGCUGACUGAGAACCUUUGUAACCGUUGCCAAAAGGGCCUCUGAUCAUCACCCACCAGCUUCCUGACCCCACUUGGCAAAAGUGCCCACAUCAGUACUCACCCUCUAGCGCCCUAACCAAUCACCUAUGCCAACUUUCCAGAGGGAAUUAUCUUUGUUUUGAG